rnacentral:misc_RNA from 1 species
UUGUGCCAACAAUAGCCGAACUACUUCUCCUUUACCCAUUCUCCAAAAAGAUUCCUUGGAAACAACAUAACAAUAAUCUUUGUCUUCGUCUUGUUGAAUACUGGAGCUUGGAAUAACAUGAGUUUCAGUUGUUGUUCUUGUUCCACUGGGCAUCUCACCAUAAAAGUAAGAUAAGUCAUUGGAAUAACGAUGGCGGAAGAGAAGCAUGAUUGGGGAUACUAUGAGAUCAAAAUGAGGAACAAG